rnacentral:tRNA from 1 species
GCCAGUGUGGCAUAGUGGUUUGAGUGUUGGACUAGGAUUCUGGAGACGAGGAUUCGAAUUCCAGUUCAGCCA